CGGUAGACGCUACGGACUUAAAAUCCGUCGACUUUAUAAGUCGUGAGGGUUCAAGUCCCUCUAUCCCCA
rnacentral:tRNA from 2 species